UAUGGCAGCAGGCUUGGUAUGUUGUUGAUACAAUAAUGUCGAGAUGUGAUUUGUUUUCUCCUGGGGUGUGUGCCGGACUCUCCAGGACUCUCACCCUCUCUGCCCUAUGACCACAUUUGUCACCUAAGAAGCUUUAGGAAUUACCCUCUGGAGACACAACAUCAUAACAGUGAUCAACACUAACAGGGGCCAAGCAGCGCUGGGACUCAGAGUCUGCCAGAGACGCCAUCUUCUCAGCCUCAUCUCGAGCUAGCUGGGCCUCCUAGACACAGCAUGAACGGGUGGCCAGGAGCUCGACUUUGGUCUCUAG